rnacentral:rRNA from 1 species
AUGGCUCAGGAUGAACGCUAGCUACAGGCUUAACACAUGCAAGUCGAGGGGCAGCAUGAACUUAGCUUGCUAAGUUUGAUGGCGACCGGCGCACGGGUGAGUAACACGUAUCCAACCUUCCGUUUACUCAGGGAUAGCCUUUCGAAAGAAAGAUUAAUACCUGAUAGUAUGGUGAGAUUGCAUGAUAGCACCAUUAAAGAUUUAUUGGUAAACGAUGGGGAUGCGUUCCAUUAGGUAGUAGGCGGGGUAACGGCCCACCUAGCCGACGAUGGAUAGGGGUUCUGAGAGGAAGGUCCCCCACAUUGGAACUGAGACACGGUCCAAACUCCUACGGGAGGCAGCAGUGAGGAAUAUUGGUCAAUGGGCGAGAGCCUGAACCAGCCAAGUAGCGUGAAGGAUGAAGGUCCUACGGAUUGUAAACUUCUUUUAUACGGGAAUAAAGUAUCCUACGUGUAGGAUUUUGUAUGUACCGUAUGAAUAAGCAUCGGCUAACUCCGUG